rnacentral:rRNA from 1 species
CCGACGGUGAGAGGCGAAAGCUGGGGGAGCAAACCGGAUUAGAUACCCGGGUAGUCCCAGCUGUAAACGAUGCGCGUUAGGUGUGUCAGUGACCACGUGUCACUGAUGUGCCGAAGGGAAACCGUGAAACGCGCCGCCUGGGGAGUACGGUCGCAAGGCUGAAGCUUAAAGGAAUUGGCGGGGGAGCACCACAACGGGUGGAGCCUGCGGUUUAAUCGGACUCAACGCCGGAAAUCUCACCGGAUAA